AGGGCACCACCAGGAGUGGAGCCUGCGGCUUAAUUUGACUCAACAUGGGAAAACUCACCCGGCCCGGACACCGUAAGGAUUGACAGAUUGAGAGCUCUUUCUUGAUUCGGUGGGUGGUGGUGCAUGGCCGUUCUUAGUUGGUGGAGCGAUUUGUCUGGUUAAUUCCGAUAACGAACGAGACUCUAGCCUGCUAAAUAGGCAGUGGAUUAUUCGUCCACUGUACUUCUUAGAGGGACAAGCAGCGUCUAGCUGCACGAGAUUGAGCAAUAACAGGUCUGUGAUGCCCUUAGAUGUUCGGGGCUGCACGCGCGCUACACUGAAGGAAUCAACAUGCUUCUCAACCUUGGCCGGAAGGUCUAGGUAACCCGUUGAAACUCCUUCGUGAUUGGGAUAGGGAAUUGCAAUUAUUUCCCUUGAACGAGGAAUUCCCAGUAAAGUGCGGGUCAUCAGCUCGCGCUGAUUACGUCCCUGCCCUUUGUACACACCACCCGUCGCUACUACCGAUUGGAGGUAGAGCAU
rnacentral:rRNA from 1 species